rnacentral:tRNA from 1 species
GCGGAUGUGGUGGAAUGGUAGACACGCUGGCUUCAGGUGCCAGUGGGGGCGACUCCGUGGAAGUUCAAAUCUUCUCAUCCGCACCA